rnacentral:rRNA from 1 species
GACGUAGGGCGCGAGCGUUGUCCGGAUUUAUUGGGCGUAAAGAGCUCGUAGGCGGCUUGUCGCGUCGUUCGUGAAAACCUGCAGCUCAACUGCAGGCUUGCGGUCGAUACGGGCAGGCUAGAGUUCGGUAGGGGAGACUGGAAUUCCUGGUGUAGCGGUGAAAUGCGCAGAUAUCAGGAGGAACACCGGUGGCGAAGGCGGGUUGCUGGGCUGACACUGACGCUGAGGCGCGAAAGCUAGGGGAGCGAACGGG